AGAAGAGCCACCGUUCAGCGCUGACAUCGACGGUGAAGGGAAAGGGGCUGUGACGUCACUGGUGCAUGAGGAGCAGUCCGCAACGCGCUCGUCACUUCAAAUUCACAAAUCUGCCUUUUAUUUACUAGAGUUGUUUUGUUUGCUGAUGGGAUAGAUUCAGUGGUCGGGGAGGACAACGUUCCCCAGGUGGACCCUGAACGUCUGGAGAAACUGAAAAAUGUGAUCGAUAAAAUCUUCUCCAAGUUUGGAAAAAUCACCAAUGAAUUUUACCCUGAAGCAGCUGGGACCACCAAAUGGUUUAUAUUUUUGGAGUAUGCAACUCUCAACCAAGCCCUUGAAUCAGUGAAGAAUGCAGAUGGUUACAAACUGGACUAACAGCACACAUCAGAGUCAAUCUGUUCACCAACUUUGAUAAUGGGGAAUCGCAUUGUGGGGAGGAGAGAAGUUCAAGCAGAUAUGGAAAUUCAGACACCAGGGUGUAUCGCUCAUUGAUUUCUCCCCAUGUGAGAGGUAAUUAUGUGAGAAAUACAGAGAGAUCCUAUGAGUGCUGAACGUAUUGCUAUACAUGUAAUGACGUGCUGAUGUUUGGCAGGUAUACUAAACUUAUAUAAUGUUUGUAUCUCCUCUUUGCCCCACCUCUCUGAAACAUGCAGAUUUUUAGCUCAUCGCUAUGAAAAGCGAGGUGUGCUAUGAUUGGCCAGUUAACCAGUGCGUAAUAUUUGGUCGAAUACUGCAAGCGUGAGACGGAAAUAUAGCGCCUCUUACCAUAUUGGGAACAUCAGGUUCCAUAAAAAUUCUACUGACAGGUACGCCCACCUUACUUGCGAAUACAUUUGGGCGGUCUUAGUCUACUCACACCACGAACUGAUGUAGAUUUGUGGGGGUGUGGUUACGCGAGGCGUUUCAGGCAGGUCUGGGUGAGCACUCGCUUUUAGAUAGAAUGCAUCUUUUGUUCCGACACUUAAAUUUUUGCAAUUUUACGUGUGUAAUACAUACUAAAUCUUGUUUUGUUCAUUGUUUUGUUGUUCUGGUAGACAAAGCGUACUGGCUCUUGAUGUUCCAGGGCCGCCUUUUGCAGAAGAACAACAAGGACAGAUUCUGCCAGUUGCUAUGGCGACCGUGCCCUCCGUCUUUACUCUUUACUCAGUCAAGUGCAAAUAAAGGCAAUAAGAAGGACCUGAAGAAAUAUUGUAAGAUAUUCCAGCAAAAGGACUGACUGAGUCAUUACAAAGCUUCCAAGGUUAUUUUAAUCUGCUGAUGCAAUGUUCCUGCAACGCAGGAGUUGGUAGACAAACGUCGCUUGAUGAUGGAAGAAUAUAGGAGAUACAGAGAUAACGCCUUUCAGCUAUACAACCAACAGAGAGAUCUGCGCCACCAACUGAGAGGAGGUGUUGACACAGAUGAGCUGGACAGUAAUGUGGAGGACUGGGAAGAGGAAACCAUUGUGUUCUUUAUCAAUGAAGAGAUUCUUCUUCUGGGAGACAUGGAGUUAGACCACUUAAAGCAGCCACUGUGAGAAACAAUGUUCACCUACAAUACAAAGAUCUCUACGGGUCUGUUAACAAGUGACUGAUAUGAGAAAAGUAAAAAAAGUAUAUUCCUAUAGAGAAGUGAUGAGGUUUUUAAGCCAGGACUUAUUCCGUACAUAUUCCCAUUUUUUCAACACUAUUUCAAGCAUUACAAUAUCAUGUAGCCUUACAUUUAUAUAAAAGAUUGAAGGACCGUGGAUAGAUUUGCUAUUUGAAAAGGAAGUAUUUGUAUAGAAAACAUAACAUCACGCUUGAAUUAUUUGACAUGCUCAAAUGUUUCAAUAUCAUCUCAGUCAAAACAAGUCCAAAAUCCAAGGUUAGGGUUACAUGUGUACAUUACUUUUACUGAAGACAGGUAAGGGAGUGAACUAUUUAUUAGAUAGUUAUGGUUUACAAAAUCGUUGUAAAUGAGUGACACUGAUAUUUUUAUAUAAACAUUUUCUUUGUAUUUUAUUUCAUUUUUAUAAAAGCCGAUGUGCACUUCUCUAAUGGUAAAAUAGUUUCUAAUAUCCAAGCUUAAUACUCAUUGACACGUGUUUGAAAGCUAAGCUUUCCCUUAAAUCAUAAUCAUGCUUUAAAUGAAGGUUAAUGUAUGAUUACACCACCAAAAUAAAUGUUACUAAAUUCA